GUGAAUCAUCGAAUCUUUGAACGCAAAUUGCACUCUCUUCGGAGAGUAUGCCUGUUUGAGGGUCAGCCUAAAAAAAAUCGACAUCGUUGCCGUUUCGCGGUGGCGUUCGUCGGAAAUUGGGUUAUCUUAAAUCUUUGGUUUAAGCGACUUAAAAUUUUCUUUACGAUUCCAUGGACGUUUCCAAGAUUCAUUUCUUUACACGUUUAAGGUAUCGAUUUUAUUAGGCGUGUUCGUUAUAUCGGAUCA
rnacentral:misc_RNA from 1 species